AUCUUUAUUAACCCUACAAAUAAGAAGACCAAGAGAGUCGAAGCAACCAUCGUUGGAUUUCUCCCCUUCUUCCUCUAAACAUUUCCGACCUUAUAAUUGCUCUUCCUACUCUUUUUCUUUCAUUCCAUCUACAUGCACUAACCCUAUAUCAAUGAAUCUAUUUAUAUGUCAAUAGAGAAACACAACAAUUUCUAGUGUUUCAACCACACGUUUGAAACGAUUCAAUCUACCAUGGCCAAAAGUUUGAGCUUGAUUCAUUUUCCAAGAAUAAAGCCACAAUUUUGCAAGAAUAAAGCCAACGCCAAGGAUAGGGGUCAAUGUUGAUCACCAGAGGUUUAAUUGGAGUUAUGGGUGGUUUCGUCUACACCAAUAUCUGAUGGUUGACGUCUUCAUCCAAGAAGUUUCAAUAUGAGAAAUUAAAAAUCCUCAAUAUCUCAGUUAUAGCGUCAAAUCUUGGCAAUAAGAAUCUACUAAGAAGUAGACGAUUUCUUCCAUGACAUUCUAGUCUACUUCCAUCUUAAGUAAGUAAAUGAUCUUCUAUCUUUGUUAUAAUCCAUUCAUAUUGAAGAUAGUGGAGUGUAUGUGUGAAACACAUAGUAAUAUAGUUAAUCAUAUUUUUUUUAGUUAAUCGUGUUUUCUGUAAUAACCCAUUCAAUUAUUAAUAGAAUUUUAAUCGGAUAA